rnacentral:lncRNA from 1 species
GCCAUGGGGCCUCCUUGGUCCCUGGCGCGACCCCCAGAAACCUUCGGAAAACUGGUCCUCGUGGAGGGGGGCAAAGGGGGAUGGCUGGCACGUGACCUGGGUCAGCCAAUCUGGGUGUUGCUGACGUGGCGGCGCGGUCCCGAUCAUCUCCCCACCCCCCAGCUCCGUCGGGAAGGGAGGGGCUGGGGGUUACGCCCCCUCCCCCAACACAGCUUCAGUUUCCCGGGGGGGUGACACCCCGGAUUACAUCCUCCUUCCCCCUCCCCCCGCAUCAAGCCGAGGGGAACGUGGGCUCCCCCCUGGAAGAUUCCAGGUUCCAGGUGAGAAGGGGCCCUUGGGGGGCGGGGAUGUUGCUGGUUAUUUAAAUGUUUAACCAAUGGUGGGGAGUCGGGGGGGGUAAUUCUUGGGGUUCAGAGAAGAACCUGAGGGUGGGAGGGUUUGUCCUUCAAACAGUUUACAGCCAAUGGGAGCUUGGGGGGGGGGGGGGGGGGGGGGGGGGGGGCGAGAGCGGGAGAGGGCCCCUCAUAUGGGGGAGGGGAAUGGCCAACCUCAUGCCUCCAUACCAAUUGGAGGGCAAAGGGGCGUGGGGGCGGUGUGUCCCCCCCAAACCAUUCGUCCCCUGGGGGUAGAGGAGUCCAGAGCCAGGUGAGGCUUCCUUUUGACGGCCGGAGGGAGGGGUGACCUAGUGGGCUGAGGUGUGGGAGUGGUGAAUGUAUUUCCUACUCUUGGGAUGUGAGUGGGCAACCCGGGUUGUGAACUGAGAUUGUUUCCGGGCGCCCACUCCCUUUCUCUCCAGAGACUCUGGAAGGAGCAUUUCUGUGCUUUUGUGUCAGCGGUAGGAAGCUCGCAGUCAUCACAUGGCAUGCUGGAGGUUACGCUUCGAGUCGCUUAUCGAAUUUGUGUGCAUUCACGUGGACACGGCCUGUGGAGCCUUCUGCACAAACCUUCGUUGCCUCGGUGGGGUCUUAGCUCAGCAUGUUACCCCAGGCUGGGGAGGGCUUACAGGCUGAAAGCUUGGGGUUAGCUUGAGAGCAGAAACCCAAACCCUAGGUGGGUGCUGGGAGGGCGGUAGAAAGCGUGGUCUGAGACAGGAGGGAGUGAGGCUUAGGACCUGGAAUGAUUUCACAGCUCACAAGGUUUCGGGUUUCUCCAGGGUGGCGUCUUUUGCCUCCUUCGUCCCUUCCCCCAUUCCUGAACAGUUCUCUCCUUGUGUACUGCGGGGGAGGGAACGGAAAGGAGGGAAGAGUUACUUUUCCAAAUUCCUGACUAGCUGUUAGCCUCCCCUGUGACUCAUGUGGGGGAAGGGAGGAUUGGGAGGGAGUGGGGAGCAGUGAUUUUCCGGAAAGCAGGAAAGUAAGCCAGAGUAAGGUCUGGCUGCCCUUUCGCUUUCGAAGACCCAGAAUCUUCGCGACCUCCUAAAUUUUUCUUCUCGGCUGGCCCCCUAAUGGGCCUCUGCAAACUUGCGAGGCCUCGGCCGGAGAACUGCAGAUUUAGGAGGCUGGGCCACUAGGGGGAGGGGAAUGGGGGGGAGGGGAGAAGGCCUCUGCAAAGUUGCUGUGUCAUUGCCCUCCCUGCUGCAGCCACCCGCGCCAGCCCGCAUGUACUUGUGGGGCCGAAGCCUGAUCCCUGCGUGGGGGAGGGCGGUAGUAAUAGGGAAGAGGCUUCCUUCCCGGUGUGCACUUCCCCCCGCAGGGUUUGCCCGACUCGGGUGGUCGAGAAGACGUGAGAUUGGCGGCCAUUUUAGACGCAGUAACCGAGGUUAGGGCUCAAGAGCUACUGCGAAAGGAGGGAGGGUGAUGUGGUUGGAGCGCAAGGACCUAGGCCCUCACGAGCUUUUCCGGGGUGGUGGCCUCUUAUGUUCGUUGAUUUACAUUAAUUUCUUUUCUCAGAUAUGCAGUCUGUUUUCUAUCUUGGUAUCCAGAGAAGGGGAGAUGGAGGGAGAGGGAGACCUCCCGCUCCAGCCCAGGUUGGGGAUAAUUCACUCCCAUAAGGGGACGAGGGUGGGUGGGCCCAGCGAUGGCUUGAGAGAUCUUGGCCUCAUUGUAAUUCUGGCUCUUUAUUCCUAAGUAGUCUAACCUUAUUCAGGUAACUAGAGUGUGGGGAAGACUUGGUGGGUGGGUUGGGGGAGGGGGCGAGACUGAGCUCCCAAAAUGGCUCCUGCCCCUCCUCGGAGGCGGACGGCCCAGGGGGGAGGGGAGGAGGGGAGAGAAGGAGGGGGAGGGCUAGUCUGAGCCGCUGCCGCCGCCUCCUCCGUUCGCCCUCCUCCCUGGCGCUGACCGAUGGACCAGCCGCUCCGUGGGGAGGACUCCGGACCCUGGUGGGGGGAUGGGGGAGCCCUGCCGCCCCCAUGGCGGUGGGACCCUAAUAGGGGGGUGUGGGCCUGCCCUCGGGGUUGGGGAGGUCCGGGAGCUUGGGGAAAGGUCUGAGCUCGCCAGGAGGGGGAGGGUGUUCACCCUGAUUCGCCCCUCACAGGACUUGCUUUUUCCGCUCUGAGCCAGGCACCGGAAUGAAGUUUAGGGAGGAGGUGGGUUUCGAUUUCUAGAGUAUAUCGGUAUGUUUGGAGAUCUUUCUCCCACUAAGGGCUGCCGGGAUUUUGUCGAGCAGGCAGAUACUUAAUAGUUAACUGAAGGUAUGAGCAGGGAGGGAUUGGAGAGGUGCUUGGGUGCAAGUUUUGGGAACGUGUUCUAGAUUUGGUUGUGUUGAUCAGCCUUUGGGAGCCCAGAUUGUUAGUGUUUUGCCUUUGUUUUUCGGUUUUUUGAACUGGGGAAAGACGGGGAGGCUUUUAAUAAUGCGGCAGGCCUGUAUUUUUGAUUGUGGAGUAUGGGAACGGUAGAUCCCUUCUUUGCUACUUCUGGGAACCCUUAGUUAUUUGCCAGAGAAGCAGGCCGCGCGUUCUAAGAUGGCGUCUUCUUCCUCGUUUCAGAUUCUUCACUGCAGCGGCGCCUCUGCCGAGAACAACAACCCGCCGGGCGUCCUGCGGCCACACCCUG